GAUGAACGCUGGCGGCGUGCCUAAUACAUGCAAGUCGAGCGAACAGACGAGGAGCUUGCUCCUUUGACGUUAGCGGCGGACGGGUGAGUAACACGUAGGUAACCUACCUAUAAUACUGGUAUAACUUCGGGAAACCGUAUCUAAUACCGGAUAAUAUUUCGAACCGCAUUGUUCGAUAGUUAAAGAUGGCUUUGCUAUCUCUUAUAGAUGUACCUGCGCCGUAUUAGCUAGUUGGUAAGGUAACGGCUUACCAAGGCAACGAUACGUAGCCGACCUGAGAGGGGGAUCGGACACACUGGAAGUGGGAAACGGUACAGACUACUACGGGAGGAAGAAGUAGGGAAUAUUCCGCAAUGGGCGAAAGCAGGACGGAGCAACGCCGAGUGAGUGAUGAAGGUCUUCGGAUCGUAAAACUAUGUUAUUAGGGAAGAACAAACGUGUAAGUAACUGUGCACGUCUUGACGGUAACUAAUCAGAAAGCAACGGCUAACUACGUG
rnacentral:rRNA from 1 species